GCAUCCACCUUUCCCUGUUUCUGUGUGUCCUUCCCUGUAUCUGGUCCACAGAGAGAUACUACUUCGUUAGAUACAAUAUAGCACAGUGGUCAUGAGCCUGACUCUGGGUUCAAGUCCUAUCUCCACCACCUUCUUGCUAUGCGAUACUGGCUUACUCGACCUCCCUGUUCCUCAGUUUACCCAUCUAUAAAGCAAGGGUGACAACUGAGAAUUAGUUACUGCAUUUUGUCGAUUCUAAGAUUCCUCUUUUAACAUUUCUGGAAUCAGAGUGAGUCUUAAAAUCAAUGCCAUGCCAUGGAUUAAUUGGCAGCGAUUUUUUUUUUUAAAGUAACCUCAGUACUGAAACUCACAACCCCGAGAUCAAGAGUCACACGCUCUGCUGGCUGAGCCAACCGGGCGCCCUAAUUGGCAGCAUUCCUUAGUGGCACAUUAAAUAAUUGUACAUCUGAAGACCGAUGGAGCCUUCGAUAUGAUGAAACACAAAAAUACACGGAGAGUCCAGCACCUGGCCUGUCACAAGGGCUAAAUAAGUGUAAGCGAUUGUUACCACUGUCAUCAUCUGCUUUCUGGAAUUCUGUUCAUCGCAGUAAUAAGUGCUCCAUCGGAAUAAAGAGACUUCAUAAAUAGAUGUAAAGGUGAAAAUUUUUUAGUAGUUUCCCCCAGAAAAACACCCAAAGUCUGAUACUUCCUCUGAAAGAUCCCAUAGAAUUCUGCCAAAGUUCCAGAGAAAACUUCAGAAAUUCCUCCUUUACCAUGGGGACCAGAGCGCCUGGCUCCCUGACCGGCAGGGGGAACCAGGGCAUGCCCCCAGAUGACUUCGGGGGUGUUCCCUGUGUCCUUGUGAAUUUUCCUGAGUCACCAUUACUCACUGCCCACAAUCGGGGCUCUGCUACCUUCCAACCAGGAGACUGAUGCUCUGGGAUCAAGGGCUGUCCUUCAACAAAAGUGUGAUUAUAGAGUGUCCCGCAUGGGCCGUAAACCGUCUGCAGCUCAGGAGAGCGGGGUGACCCUCGCCGGUGUCUUAUUUUUGGCUUCCCGGGUUGUGUUCCUGCCUACUGACUUGGCAAAUCCUGGGCGACUCGCCUUGUUUUCUCUCCUCACUUAAAUACAUGUCUGGAAAAAGCCUCCGCCCCCACAGACACUGCUGUGUGUGGAAAAUGGUGACAGGCCUGAUGGGGGAGGAGAAACCAGGCGGCUGAUGCCUGGAGCCUCCCUCUCACUGAGGGGGGAGGGUUGGCUCAGCUGCUGGGGUUAGCCACACUCCCAGGCCAGUUCUCAUUCUCUCCUCCUCUGCCUAGUUAACAAGAGACCCUCUCGGCCACUGACACCGCGUAUGCAAAGUUCUCUGGUUUGCACCUGGGGUCGGGAGGCUGUCACCCUGAAAACACAGGGACCCGGUGACCCCCAGGCAGCGCGCACGUGCUGGAUGGCAAGGGGCUGGAUAAAGGCACUCUGGAGCCCCCAGACCACAUGCCUGCUCCUGCCAGCUCUCCGCCAGUUGGGGGGGCAGGACAGCCCCCCAGGGGAAACGAGGGACCAAGCAACCAGUGGUGGGUCUCUGUGGAGGCCCUCUGGACAGGACAGUCAACUGCCCUCUCUCUGGAUCCCCAGACACCCGUCCAACGGUCACCCAUCUUCAUUCCAGAAUGCUAACCCUGCACACAGCCGCCCGUUCGUGGGUUCUAUUGGAUCUCUGCUCCGGGCUGGGGAGACGCCAGGCUGGUUUCAAAGCCUCAAGAUCCUCCAUCCCAACCCUCCCGUUCACACGGGGAAGACGGGACUGACGAAGAGGAGUGCGGGGCUCCGACAGGAGUCCAGCAAAGCAGGUGGCAUCUAAAGGGGGCCGGAAGCCAUGCUGCCUCUCCAUCAGCUCCACUGGGCCGUCGUCAGAAACUCUUUAUUUUACGCAAAGGCGCUCUGCACAUUCAGCUCCAAGACUCUGCCUCUGUGGAGAACCCUGUGGCCAGCCCUCCCCACUCCAGGCCCCACAUCUGGAAUUUUCUCUUCUUUGUCUCUUCUGGCCAGCACCUGAGCUUUCCAUCCAGCUUCCCAGACAAGGCGUCCUCCUGAAGCUGAGCAGCGCCCCCAGUGCAGGCCGCCUCUUUAUUUGGCCCCCAGUCAUGCCUCCAGGCCCUGCAAAGUUCGUUCAACAGCGCCAAACAGCCUUGGCUUUGAACUUGUCAACAAUUUCUUCUCCAAAUGUAACCUUGGGAGAGAUGUCAGGAGGAAGAUAACAACAGCGAGAGGCUAUUGAGAAGGGUGACAGGGGCUGCAUGAGGUGAUCUGCCCUCCCCGCCCUCACCCCUACCCCCUCUCCCCAAGGGUACCUUUAUUCCUCCGCGGCAUCUUUUGAGCCUAAGCAAAAACAGUGGCAGACUUGGCCUGUCUUUGCAGCUCAUGUGUGCACCUGUCCAGCCACAGGCCACGGGGGACAGCUCUCAGCAGGGCAAAAGCAUCGGGGUCCCUGCCCAACAUUGCCUGGCUCUCCAAGGAUUGCAGAGAAAACACACUCCUUUGACCAAAUACGGAGUCAAUCGAGUAAUCAGACUCAACAGAGACACUGCAGAAGCAGUAAGAGAUUAUAAUAGUUCUACAAAGACAUCUUGUUUAUUCACAUCCAUUACGAUGGCUACUCUUAAAAAAAAAAAAAAAAAAAGAAGGUAACAAGCAUUGGCAAGGACAUGGAGAAGUUGGAACCAUGAGCACCUUUGGCGAGACUGUGAAACGGUGCACCCACCAGGGAAAACAGAGGGUCCUCAAACAGUAAAAAACAGAACUACCGUA